CCAAGGCGCUUGAGAGAAGUGUACUGAAGGAACUCGGCAAAUUGCCUCCGUACCUUCGGAAGAAGGAGGCCCUCACUAUGCGCAAGCACUUUGAGGGGGCACAGGCCAGGGGGUAGCGACUGUUUAGCAAAAACACAGGGCUCUGCUAAGUCGGCUUCAAGACGACGUAUAGGGCCUGACGCCUGCCCGGUGCCUGAAGGUUAAGUGGAGUGGU
rnacentral:rRNA from 16 species